GUGUUAGAUUAAAGGAGAGAUGGUUGGCAACUUGGCAUCUCCUCUGACAGGGUCUGGACCUACCUUCGGGUUUCCUUGUUUAACAGAUAUGGUUUAGGCUACACACUUCUCGCAGGUGGAUCAAUAAAAUAA